CCGGGCGUGUGGAGUUGCCGCGGUACCGUACUAUUCCUCAUUGCAAAAUCUUUAUGACACUUAAGAAAAGAAUCACCAGCCUGGGCAACCUGGGGAGGCCCCGUCUCUACAAAAAAAUUAAAAAAUUAGCCGAGUGUGGUGGCGCGCGGCCGUGGUCCCAGCUACUCUGGAGGCUGAGGCCCAGGAGUUCGAGGCCGCAGUGAGCUAUGAACGUGCCACUGCACUCCAGCCUGGGCCACAGAGCAAGACCCCGUUUCAAAUAAAAGAAAAGAAGUUACCGAAAUACAGAUGUGCAAUUUUUAUUCCUUAGCCUAGUCUCAUCUCUGCUGCAUGUGACUGUUGUUCACAUAUUAAUUCCACCACAAUUUAAGUUCCUCCUGUGUGCCAGGGAAGCGCCCUUAACAGAAGCUGGGGAAACAACCAGGAACAAGACAGAUGCUGUGCCUGCCCUCAUGGGGAUUACUUUCUAGUUGAGAAAGGAGAUACUAAAUGGAGAAGGAAAAUAAGCUGCUGAGAAAUUAAAGGAAGACAGGUGACCUUUUGAUUUGAGAUGUCAAGAAAGUGCCCUCUGAAGAGGUUCGGUAAACUGAGAGGAAGCCGGCUCUGGAGAUACAAGGAAAGAACAGCCAACAGAAGGAUCUACAUGUGAGCAAGCAACAAGGAAGGAGCAGAAUGUGGUGCCUUGAAGAAAAGGAGAAAGUGGGUCAUGGGAAGCACGGAGGAUGAGAUCAACGAGGCCAGGAGAGUCCCCAUCAUGCACAGACUCUCUGGGGCCCUGUGAGGGAUACGGAGUUUAUUCCAAGUGUAAUGGGAAACUAGUGAAGAGUUUUCAACACGUGAGUGACAGGAUCUCGUUUCGUAGCAUCAUCGCCCUGCUUGCUGCUGUGUAUACAUGGAACUUUUGAGAAACAAUUUAAAAGGAUGCAGAGAGAAGAGUUGCUUUUGCAAUGAGCAGGUUCUCUUCCCUGCUGAGUUGUGAAGAAGGCACCUGCUUCCUCUUACACCGUGAUUGUUAAGUUUCCUGAGGCCUCCCCAGCCUUGCAGAACUGGCCUUAGAAAUUACUUGGAAGAAUUCAGACUACUAAGCAAAGAGAUAUUCUAGAAGAUGGAAUGAGAGGAAGAAAGAGAAGAAAGACUCAGAGACUACCUAGACGCCCGCAGACAACAGACCAGAGGGGUCCGGCGAAACACAGAGGGGUCCGGCGAAAUGGUUUUCACCUGAGAAGGCAACGGGCUACUCCACUGUAAGAAAACCAUCUGUAUGAAAGAAUCUUGGUGACUGGCCAAUCAAGAGGCCCGUAGACCAGGUCGCCCGCAGAGCAGCUAUGCAGAGCCGUCAUGCCGUCAUUUCCUGCAUCACUUCCCACCUACCUUCCCUCUGGCUUCACAGAGUCUGUUUACAAGGAGAAGUGAAUGCCGUAUUCUGCUUGGCCUGCAGGCAGCCCAGGACACCAGCGGGGCUCCCUAGCAGCCCUUCUCGAGGGGGAGCUGCUGGCAUUUGGUCAGGACGUGUCUUCAUUGCGCGGGUCUCUUCCGUGAGCUGCAGAGCAUGUGCUGUUGCUGGUGAAUGCUCUUUCCUGAGGACCAACGGGUCAGCCAGAAACACCUUCACACGUUUCAGAUGCCCUCAGGAGGGUAUCAGACCCUGGCUGAGAACGUCGUGUUUACUGCAUUCCUGGAUACAGGGGCUCGAGCCCCAGUUAAUGUUUAACUCACAGAGAAGCUGGAACCCUGGUGAAGGCGUCUUUGUUUGGGCACCGAUGCAGGAUGGAAUGUUGGCGCAGGUCCUCUGGUUGAGCCGCCUGUCCUGCUUUGGCUUGGGGCCCACACGUAAUUCCCUUCACUGUAUCCAUUGGUUCAGCAUCCAG
rnacentral:lncRNA from 1 species